rnacentral:rRNA from 1 species
CCUACGGGAGGCAGCAGUAGGGAAUCUUCCGCAAUGGACGGAAGUCUGACGGAGCAACGCCGCGUGAGUGAGGAAGGCCUUCGGGUCGUAAAGCUCUGUUGUUCGUGAAGAAGGGGUUGGCCAGGAAAUGGGCCGACAUUGACGGUAGCGAACCAGAAAGCCCCGGCUAACUACAUGCCAGCAGCCGCGGUAAU